GUGGUGGCUCAGUGGUAGAGCGCUUGCCUAGCAUGCAAGAGGCACUGGGUUUAAUUCUUAGCACCACA
rnacentral:tRNA from 2 species